GAUGAACGCUGGCGGCGUGCCUAACACAUGCAAGUCGAGCGAACAGACGAGGAGCUUGCUCCUCUGACGCUAGCGGCGGACGGGUGAGUAACACGUGUAUACCCUACCUAUAAGACUGGGAUCACUUCGGGAAACCGGAGCCAACAUCGGAUAAUAUAUUGAACCGCAGGGUUCAAUAGUGAAAGACGGUUUUGCUGUCACUAAUAGAUGGUUCCGGGCCGCAUUAGCUAGUUGGUAGGGUAACGGCUUACCAAGGCUACGAUGCGUAGCCGAUCUGAGAGGAUGAUCGGCCACACUGGAACUGAGACACGGUCCAGACUCCUACGGGAGGCAGCAGUAGGGAAUCUUCGGCAAUGGGCGAAAGCCUGACGGAGCAACGCCGCGUGUGUGAUGAAGGUCUUCGGAUCGUAAAGCUCUGUUAUUAGGGAAGAACAAAUGUGUAAGUAACUAUGCACGUCUUGACGGUACCUAAUCAGAAAGCCACGGCUAACUACGUG
rnacentral:rRNA from 1 species